GUGAGAUUUUCUGCUUCCAGUGUGUAAGUUACAAGUUCCGAAAGGGUAGAUGUUGUCAUAAGACUCUGUGUUAAUCUCAACGCUCGAGCCAAAGGUAGUUAUCCAGCCUAUAACUUUUUGAUAAGUGAAUUGUUUGAAGCAGAAGUUCUUUUAUGUCAUCCAGCUAAAGCAAAAAUAGCAGUCUUCAAGAGCCCGCAGCAUGUUUUAAUAAUGCAAUUUUAUAUCUUAACCUUGUAAGAGUUAUUCUAAAGAUUGUAUAAUUUUGCUAAAGCUGCACCUUUGUUCUGAAAAACAUCGAGCCAUUGAGAGUUCCGGGAAUGUUUUGAUAUUGCAAGAGUAUACCACAACCUCGUAUGAGUUAUGCUAAAGAUUGCAUCAUUUGCUAAAGCUGCACAUUUCUUUUAACUUAUUUUGCUUGUAUAGAAAUUAGGCCUACUGAUUUUUGCAUUUGGUCAAAGGUACUCUCUCAUCAGAUUAUAGUAUGGUCAGCCCUUCAAUACUAUUGCCUUGAUGUUAUUACUAUUGCCAUGAAUGGCAAGUAAUUCUACAUAUUACCCUGUUAAAUUUUUAUUGCUCUCCAAAAUAUUUUUGCAUGCAGCUGCAAUAAAGAAUCAACUGAAUUGCUCGAAUGAUUAAUUGAUUCUAUUCCCAUAGAUUUCCCUAGUCUCAAAUCUCUUACUUGUAGGAUCAGCAGGUGCAGUGGCAUUAUCAUUGCAAAUUCAAUAGUAUCUUCUUCAAUAUUUCUAUGAUAAUGUCAUCAAAUUCUAUGCUUACUAUUCUGUGUACCAUCUUAGAUGAAAAUUCUUUUCCUUAAUGACCUGCGGGACAUUAAGCUUGUUUGCCUUUCAUUAUAAUCUCAAAUUUAAUUUUAACCAUUCAUUCGUAGGAGCCACAACAACCACCCUCUUAUCCACCACUCAUUUUUAUCACAUUUUAACUUCAACAACCUAUAAUGAAACCAAAACAAGAACUUAGGUCAAGAUUCUCGAUGGUGUUUCUGGACCGGCAAAUAUUGUGCCACAAAACCUUUGAAUUGCAGCAGAUAUUGCUGUUACUGGAUGGUAAAAUGAAUUGUGAAUGUGAGCAUUGUUUAACUGGUUUGUUGUGUUGACUGGUGAAGUUAACAUAAGCCAAGCAUUUAUUUUCAAGUUCAGAUGAUACAAGAUUUGAUCUUGAAGAGUUCAUAACAAAUUGAUGAUGAUGUUUAAGACAUGGGAUUGUAAUAUUUCUAAGAUAGCAUUUCAUGUAAUUUAAACUACAGAAAGGUCUGGCAUUCACCUUGUGCAAUAUUCCGUUAAGCUGACCUUCGUGGAAUAUGAACAUGUAAUCAUGUUAGAUUGCAUCUCCUAGAUACUGAUUUUCACGGUUGCUUACUGUUGAAUUUUUUGCGCAAUAUUAAAUAGAUGAAAACGAAAAUCAACACAAGAAUUUUACGUGGUUCGACGGUGUGCCGACGUCCACGAGAGCGAAGCGGGUUCGAUGCGCUCCGCUCCUCUCACUCCACUCCGCUCCGCGCCGGCAUCUGCUCAUUUGAUCUAGGGCCUGUGUUCCACUUUAUAUGAGCCACAUGCACAACACUUACCCUCGAGCUGAAAAUUUCUACUAUUUUCAUUUGUAGUGACUUUCAUUUCAGUGGAAAGAUAUCUGGACAUUAUAACUUUUUGCACUCACUUUCCUUUGGAUUGACACGUUUUACGAAGGUGGUUUUGCAAUGCGAGUGUCAUUCCAUGCCUCCGAAGGAGCUUUGCUUCGCUUCUGGUUGUUCAUCUCGUGUGCAUCUUAAUCUCUUCAAAGUAUUUUUGUAGAGGCACAUCUGUCAGUGUCAAUAAUUUUUAUUUUACAUAGUUACAUGUUUCCAUUACAUAAGUUGGAAAUUUUGUGAA
rnacentral:lncRNA from 1 species